GACGUGUUCUUCCAGCGCCACGUCGUGAGGAAGUGUCGGUCCCCUCGAGCUGUUGAAAGGUGCCGGCAGAGCCUGUCAAGGUUACCUGGUUGGUGACUAAUUGUUCUGUGCUUCUGCUGAGGCAAGAACUAUGUCAUGGAUCAAGGAAGGAGAGCUGUCGUUUUGGGAGCGGUUCUGUGCCAACAUCAUAAAGGCAGGCCCAAUGCCCAAACACAUUGCGUUUAUAAUGGAUGGGAACCGUCGCUAUGCCAAGAAGUGCCAAGUGGAGAGGCAAGAGGGUCACUCACAGGGCUUCAACAAACUGGCUGAGACUCUGCGUUGGUGUUUGAACCUGGGCGUCCUAGAGGUGACGGUCUACGCAUUCAGCAUUGAGAACUUCAAACGCUCCAAGAGUGAGGUAGAUGGGCUAAUGGAUCUGGCCCGGCAGAAGUUCAGCCGCUUGAUGGAAGAAAAGGAGAAACUGCAGAAGCAUGGGGUAUGUAUCCGGGUCCUGGGUGAUCUGCAUUUGUUGCCCUUGGAUCUCCAGGAGCUGAUUGCACAGGCUGUGCAGGCCACCAAGAACUACAACAAGUGUUUCCUGAACGUCUGUUUUGCUUACACAUCCCGUCAUGAGAUCAGCAAUGCUGUGAGAGAGAUGGCCUGGGGAGUGGAGCAAGGCCUGCUGGAUCCCAGCGAUGUCUCUGAGUCUCUGCUGGAUAAGUGCCUUUAUACCAACCACUCUCCUCAUCCUGACAUCUUGAUACGGACUUCUGGGGAAGUGAGGCUCAGUGACUUCCUCCUCUGGCAGACCUCCCACUCCUGCUUGGUGUUCCAGCCUGUUCUGUGGCCAGAAUACACGUUUUGGAACCUCUGUGAGGCCAUCCUGCAGUUCCAGAUGAACCAUAGCAUGCUUCAGCAGAAGGCCCGAGACAUGUAUGCAGAGGAUCGGAAGAGGCAGCAGCUGGAGAGGGACCAGGCUGCAGUGACAGAACAGCUGCUGCAAGAGGGGCUCCAGGCCAGUGGGGACGCCCAGCUCCGACGGACACGCUUGCACAAACUCUCAGCCAGACGAGAAGAGCGGGUCCAAGGCUUCCUGCAGGCCUUAGAACUCAAGCGGGCUGACUGGCUGGCACGUCUGGGCACUGCAUCAGCCUGAGUGAGGCUGGCCUCCUGCCACUUUGCCCUGCCCUCUGCCUCCAGGGCCCCACUCCCCUUUCUUUUCUUGGUGAAAGGGCAUGGGGCCAGGCUCCACUCCCCAUUGAGACCGGUCCCCUCCAUGGCUACAGGGUAACAGAAGACCUAUAGGCCCUGGUGAAUCUAAUCCAGCACAGGCCACCUUCCCUGGAUGACAUCAGGACCAAGAGCACAGAAACAAGCACUUCUCCCAACUGACUGCCUCCUGCCCUCAGCAUCUCGGACUCUGCUUCCCACCUCAACAGCCUUUGAGGCUUUUCUCAGCUUUUGACCUGUCCCCCUAAGUAGACGGUGAGAUGAUUUAUUCCCAGCAUGGCAGAGUCUCAGCUUGUGAGGGCCAAGGUUGCCCAGCAGGGAGAAGAGGGCCGAGUCAAGGGCCGUGUCCUUUUCCUUACCUCUCCCUGCCAGGCCUCGCUGCAGAGCUGCUGAGAGGAUUAGUGCCUUUGAAGAGUUGUCUGAGCAGCUCUGUGCUUCAGGUGCCCCAGAGCAGCAAGCACCAGCGGGUAAUACCAACCAAAGGCUACUCUGUUUAGUCUUCCCGUUUUACUUUCUGCAAACUGUUUCCCAGCACCUCCCUCUAGGGGAGAGGUAGGAUCUUGCAAGCAGUGCUAAGAGCAUAUUCUUUAAAACCGAUAACUUCCCUAUAGUCCAGUCUCCUCCCUUUUCUGUGCCUGGAUACCUGGCACAAGAGACCCUUUGGGCAUCUUCCCUGCUCCCAGAAUCAAACAUAAAUGCCCGGCACUGCGAUUGAGAAGCCAAUCAAUGCACCCUUUGGCAAGUCCCCCCUCACACACCUGGCACUCCCCACUACCAAUCCCUGGCACGGGGUUCCCAGAGAGCAGGUGCUGUACAUUUUCCAGCUUUACAAGGGGGCUGUUGACAGCCUUAAUUAGGGAGGCAUGAAUUAUGCGGCUAUAAUGCAGAGCCCUACAAUUAAGGCGGGAAUGAGGGGCUGGAGGCAGCAAAUGGAAUCUGCCCUGUGAGCAUGGUUGUUGAGUCCUGUCUCCUUUCUGGGUCUGACUUUCCCUACUAUGAUUGGGGUACAGCAGAGGUGAUUAAUGGGGCUGGUAUCUUUGGCCUGAGGUCCUGUAUUCUGGGAAAGGUACACAGUGGGGAGGGGUGAGGAGUGGCUGCCUGUAAGGGGUGGAAAGGAGAAGAGGCGGAGGGAUCGCUGCUGCUCAGGAACAGGGGCUGCAAAUAGUUGAUAUGAACUCACAGUGAUUGCUUUCUACCGGUGUGAUUUGUACAAACCAGCUCAACCCUUGCCUCAGGAAAUUAGGUGAGACCUAUUUAAAUGUCCUCCCACCUGUGAGCCAACCCCCCCCCCAGUUGAGGAUAUUUAUCGUGUUGCGUUCUCUCGGGUGUCAAAUAGAAUUUUUUAAAUUCUUAGAUGUAAAACUUGUUUGCGAACAGUGCAACAGAAGAUCAUGUUUUGCUGCAGCACUUGGCUACCUCCCUCAGGUGCACUUGGCUACCUCUAGGAUCCCUAGCUUUGGGGACGGGGUGGGAGAGCCACUGGAAGAGCCCUUUUUCCAUCGCAACCCCUGUAACUCUACUUGUUUCCUAAUGCCCGGACGCUUUCCUCCACCCUCCUUUUCCCUCGCGCAAGUGAAAGGAAGCCAGCCAGCCUGCCAGUGUGGAAGGAGGGAUUUCGCCAGCUGCGUGUGCAGCGCCCAGGGUUAGUGGCUGCAUCGGGUGGGGGCAGCUGAGCUUCAUGUCUCCGUAGCGGGUAAAGGUUAGAGGGAGGGGAGUGCUAGUAGGCCUUCUUGGCGGCCACUCUCCGUCAUUCGGUGGCGGGGUUCUGAGGUCCAGGAAUACAAGGACCUAGGAGAGCCAUCCACCCGACAGGCUUUGGGGGGGCUUCGUUGGUGUUUGGGGAGGCGGCUGAGCAACGGGUGCUGAAAGGACAGCUCCUACCUGCCCCACUGCACCCGAAAGGCACCUCUGCGUGUAAAGUCUCCCCCUGGAACCCCCACCCCACCUCGAGUGGACCGCCUUCCAGGUGAGGUGCCCGAGAGGCGUCCUCCGAGUGGCAGCCUGGAAGGAUGCACGUCCGGCUGCGCCGAGCUGGCUUCCCCGCUCUUUCCCCACUUCAGCGUCAGCCUUGGCCCUGGGAACUGCAGCCUGUGCCUCCAAGCCGCGCGCUUCCUCCCGCCUCCGGCGGAGAAGGGCAGUGCGGCCAGGCCUAGCAAACCCUUCUUCUGGGGCCCCCAGCGGGAACAGGAAGGAAAGCGGCUGAGAUGCGCCCUAAGUGUCGCAUGGCUUGGAGAAGUGGGUAGCUCGGUUGCAUAAGGUGGAAGGAACUUGGUAGUUUGGAAAAGCCAGCUCUUGGCGGGAGCCGAAACCCAGAGCCCGCCGAGUCGCACCACCCUCCCUCAUUUAUUGCCCUCGACGCGCGCCUCCCCCACUGCGCCCC